UACUCGAGUGGCGAACGGGUUAGUAACACGUGGGUGAUCUGCCCUGCACUUCGGGAUAAGCUUGGGAAACUGGGUCUAAUACCGGAUAGGAGCCAUCUUUAGUGUGGUGGUUGGAAAGUUUUUUCGGUGUAGGAUGAGCUCGCGGCCUAUCAGCUUGUUGGUGGGGUAAUGGCCUACCAAGGCGGCGACGGGUAGCCGGCCUGAGAGGGUGUACGGCCACAUUGGGACUGAGAUACGGCCCAG
rnacentral:rRNA from 1 species